UUGGAGGGCAAGUCUGGUGCCAGCAGCCGCGGUAAUUCCAGCUCCAAUAGCGUAUAUUAAAAUUGUUGCAGUUAAAAAGCUCGUAGUUGAAUUUCUGCUGCAUUGCAUUUUCUCCUAUACGAGUUUUUGCAUUGUGGCUUAUUUCGGUUAUAAAAUUAAUUUUAUUUCCGGAUGUUUACUUUGAGAAAAUUAGAGUGCUCAAAGCAGGCUUUUGCCUUGAAUAGUUUAGCAUGGAAUAAUAAAGUAGGACUUUGGUUCUAUUUUGUUGGUUUUAGGUACCAAAGUAAUGGUUAAUAGGAACAGUUGGGGGCAUUCGUAUUUAACUGUCAGAGGUGAAAUUCUUAGAUUUGUUAAAGACGAACUACUGCGAAAGCAUUUGCCAAGGAUGUUUUCAUUAAUCAAGAACGAAAGUUAGGGGAUCGAAGACGAUCAGAUACCGUCGUAGUCCUAAC
rnacentral:rRNA from 1 species